rnacentral:rRNA from 1 species
AUUGAACGCUGGCGGCAGGCUUAACACAUGCAAGUCGAACGGUAACAGAGAAGUGCUUGCACUUUUGCUGACGAGUGGCGGACGGGUGAGUAAUGCUUGGGAAUAUGCCUUAUGGUGGGGGACAACAGUUGGAAACGACUGCUAAUACCGCAUAACGUCUACGGACCAAGGGGGGGAUCUUCGGACCUCUCGCCAUUUGAUUAGCCCAAGUGAGAUUAGCUAGUUGGUGAGGUAAUGGCUCACCAAGGCGACGAUCUCUAGCUGGUUUGAGAGGAUGAUCAGGCACAAUGGAACUGAGACACGGUCCAU